AGGUGAAAUCGCUGUUCAGGAGGACUGGGGUGGAGCCUUUAUUUUUUGAACUGGACCAGCUAGACCUCUCAUUCAGAGCACUUCGAGGAAGAAAUCUUGAACCUUCGAAACACACUAUUGAAGAGUGAGCUAGAGAAAGAGAGAAUAGCUCUGGAGUUGGAAGAGGAAAAGAAAGACAGAGCUCAUCGUGAGAGGAGGCUAGCAGAGCAAGCAAAGAAAAUUGCUAAUCUCAGUUCGUUGGUGCUAUGCUCUGAAAAGGAUGAGAAAAGCACAAA